rnacentral:lncRNA from 1 species
GACGAAGCGGCGACAACGCGGCAGACCAGCCUUACAACGGAGCGACAGCAAAACAGAACGACGUCACAAGGAGCGACAAUACCUACCACCCUCUUCCUCCAUCCACCAAUUUAUUUCACAAAUUGAAACACCUACCAUAUGCAUAAUACUAGGGGUGUUCGCGGUUCGAUUUGGAUCGGUUUUGAGGCAAAAACUCAUCCGAUCCAAAAAUAAAUUUAUUUGCGGUUUGGUUCGGUUUUGGAUGACAAAUAAAAAAAAUCCGAUCCAAUAUUAUGCGGUUUAAUUUGGAUCGGUUUUUGGNNNNNNNNNNNNNNNNNNNNNNNNNNNNNNNNNNNNNAACAUAUAAUAUAUUGAAAAUUAAUAUUUUGGAAUGACAAUUACCAAUUAUAUUCGAAACAUAUAAAAAGUAAAAAAAAAUAGAUUAAAUUAAACUAACAUAUAGUAUUAACAAAAUUUAAAAUGAAAAAAUAGUUAAUGCAAUAUAUAUAUUUAUACUAAUAAAAAGAUAAAUAAAUAUUAAAAUAUAUGUAUGCGGUUUGGUUCGGUUUGAAUCGGUUUUAAGAAAUCAAUCCAAAAUCCGAUCCGAUCCAGCGGUUUUCACAAAAGAACAUCCAAACACAUCCAAAAAACUUCGGUUUUUUCCGGUUUUCGGUUUUUUUGGAUCGGUUUUCGGUUUUUAUUUGGAUUGGUUUGGAUUUGAGCACCCCUACAUAAUACAAUUGUUCUCUUUCACAAAUUGGCACAGAUUCUGGAAUUUGAGUUAUGGAGUAAUGCUUCCAACCCCU